UAUACAGAACAGCAUUUGUGUGUGUGUGUGUGUGUGUGUGUGUGUGUGUGUGUGUGUGUGUGUGUGUGUGUGUGUGUGUGUGUGUGUGUGUGUGUGUGUGUGUGUGUGUGUGUGUGUGUGUGUGUGUUUUAUUGGAUUCACUCCAUUCUAUUCACUCCAUUCCAUUCACUCCAUUCUAUUCACUCCAUUCCAUUCACUCCAUUCCAUUCCAUUCACUCCAUUCCAUUCACUCCAUUCCGUUCCAUUCACUCCAUUCCAUUCACUCCAUUCCAUUCACUCCAUUCCAUUCCAUUCACUCCAUUCUAUUCUCUCCAUUCUAUUCACUCCAUUCCAUUCCAUUCACUCCAUUCCAUUCACUCCAUUCCAUUCUAUUCACUCCAUUCCAUUCACUCCAUUCUAUUCACUCCAUUCUAUUCACUCCAUUCCAUUCCAUUCACUCCAUUCCAUUCACUCCAUUCCAUUCCAUUCACUCCAUUCCAUUUCAUUUAUUCCAUUCCAUUCACUCCAUUCCAUUCACUCCAUUCCAUUCCAUUCACUCCAUUCUAUUCACUCCAUUCUAUUCACUCCAUUCCAUUCCAUUCACUCCAUUCUAUUCACUCCAUUCCAUUCACUCCAUUCCAUUCCAUUCACUCCAUUCCAUUCACACCAUUCCAUUCACUCCAUUCCGUUCCAUUCACUCCAUUCCAUUCACUCCAUUCCAUUCACUCCAUUCCAUUCACUCCAUUCUAUUCACUCCAUUCCAUUCACUCCAUUCCGUUCCAUUCACUCCAUUCCAUUAUAUUCCAUUUCAUUCACUCCAUUCCAUUCAUUCCAUUCCAUUCACUCCAUUCCAUUCACUCCAUUCCAUUCACACCAUUCCAUUCACUCCAUUCCGUUCCAUUCACUCCAUUCCAUUCACUCCAUUCCAUUCCAUUCCAUUCACUCCAUUCUAUUCACUCCAUUCCAUUCACUCCAUUCCGUUCCAUUCACUCCAUUCCAUUCCAUUCCAUUUCAUUCACUCCAUUCCAUUCAUUCCAUUCCAUUCACUCAAUUUCAUUCACUCCAAUUAAUUCACUCCACUCCAUUCCAUUCACUCCAUUCCAUUCACUCCAUUCCAUUCCAUUCACUCCAUUCUAUUCACUCCAUUCCAUUCACUCCAUUCCAUUCCAUUCACUCCAAUUCAUUCACUCCACUCCAUUCCAUUCACUCCAUUCCAUUCACUCCAUUCCAUUCCGUUCCAUUCACUCCAUUCCAUUCCAUUCACUGAAUUCCAUUCCAUUCCAUUCACUCCAUUCCAUUCCGUUCUAUUCCCUUCACUCCAUUCCGUUCCAUUCACUCCAUUCCAUUCACUCCAUUCCAUUCCAUUCACUCCAUUCCAUUCCAUUCACUCCAUUCCAUUCCAUUCUAUUCCCUUCACUCCAUUCCAUUCCAUUCUAUUCACUCCAUUCCAUUCACUCCAUUCCAUUCCAUUCACUCCAUUCCAUUCACUCCAUUCCAUUCACUCCAUUCCGUUCCAUUCACUCCAUUCUAUUCACUCCAUUCCAUUCACUCCAUUCCAUUCACUCCAUUCCAUUCCAUUCACUCCAUUCCAUUCACUCCAUUCCAUUCCAUUCCAUUCACUCCAUUCCAUUCCAUUCACUCCAUUCCAUUCCAUUAUAUUCCAUUCACUCCAUUCCAUUCCAUUCCAUUCACUCCAUUCCAUUCCAUUCACUCCAUUCCAUUCCAUUCCAUUCUAUUCACUCCAUUCCAUUCCAUUCACUCCAUUCCAUUCCAUUCCCUUCACUCCAUUCCAUUCUAUUCCAUUCACUCCAUUCCAUUCACUCCAUUUCAUUCCAUUCACUCCAUUCCAUUCCAUUCCAUUCACUCCAUUCCAUUCUAUUCACUCCAUUCCAUUCCAUUCACUCCAUUCCAUUCCAUUCUAUUCACUCCAUUCCAUUCCAUUCACUCCAUUCCAUUCCAUUCCCUUCACUCCAUUCCAUUCUAUUCCAUUCCAUUCACUCCAUUCCAUUCACUCCAUUCCAUUCCAUUCACUCCAUUCCAUUCCAUUCUAUUCCAUUCACUCCAUUCCAUUCACUCCAUUCCAUUCCAUUCACUCCAUUCCAUUCCAUUCCAUUCUAUUCCAUUUACUCCAUUCCAUUCUAUUCCAUUCACUCCAUUCCAUUCUAUUCCAUUCACUCCAUUCCAUUCUAUUCCAUUCACUCCAUUCCAGCCAUUAUGAUGAGCCGUCCUCCUCUCAGCAGCCUCCUGUGCUGUGUGUGUUUGUGUAAGUGUGUGUUUAUUUGUGCCUGUGGGUUUUUAUCAGAGACAAGGUCACCCUCAAGGCGACUCGGAGCCUUGUCGCCGUCUCUGUAA
ensembl:lncRNA